AGCAUGGACUAUCUUAUAUUUACUUAGUGAUCAUGAAGAACAGUUGUAUAAAUGUCAUACUUAAAAUCACAGAAAUUAAAUAUGAGAUGAAAUAAAAUAUUCAUUAGGAGCAAAAUAAAGUUUAUACAACUCCAGAAAUAGAAAAUUAAAAUAUAAAACCCUUGGCCCUUUGUUAGGGCUGCAUCCAGCCCUAGUGCAGAGCUUAGGCUUUCAUGCAGUGGUGGACGGCAGCAGCAGCACAGCAGCGGGCUCCCAUCACAGCUAUCUCCUUCUUUUCUCUAUCUUCUCCCUGCAUUUUUACUUCGGUGGGAACUCCUGAGAAGAGAUUGGAUGAGAAGGCUGGCAUGAUGACAGAGGGAGCUCUGGCUAAUCCCUUUCUUCCAU
rnacentral:lncRNA from 1 species